ACGAACGCUGGCGGCGUGCUUAACACAUGCAAGUCGCACGGAAAGGCCCUGCUUGCAGGGUACUCGAGUGGCGAACGGGUGAGUAACACGUGGGUGAUCUGCCCUGCACUUCGGGAUAAGCCUGGGAAACUGGGUCUAAUACCGGAUAGGAGCCAUCUUUAGUGUGAUGGUUGGAAAGUUUUUUCGGUGUAGGAUGAGCUCGCGGCCUAUCAGCUUGUUGGUGGGGUAAUGGCCUACCAAGGCGGCGACGGGUAGCCGGCCUGAGAGGGUGGACGGCCACAUUGGGACUGAGAUACGGCCCAGACUCCUACGGGAGGCAGCAGUGGGGAAUAUUGCACAAUGGGCGCAAGCCUGAUGCAGCGACGCCGCGUGGGGGAUGACGGCCUUCGGGUUGUAAACUCCUUUCGCUAGGGACGAAGCUUUUUGUGACGGUACCUAGAUAAGAAGCACCGGCUAACUACGUG
rnacentral:rRNA from 1 species